rnacentral:rRNA from 1 species
UGGGGAAUUUUGGACAAUGGGCGCAAGCCUGAUCCAGCCAUGCCGCGUGCGGGAAGAAGGCCUUCGGGUUGUAAACCGCUUUUGUCAGGGAAGAAAUCUUCUGAGUUAAUACCUCGGGAGGAUGACGGUACCUGAAGAAUAAGCACCGGCUAACUACGUGCCAGCAGCCGCGGUAAUACGUAGGGUGCAAGCGUUAAUCGGAAUUACUGGGCGUAAAGCGUGCGCAGGCGGUUUUGUAAGACAGAGGUGAAAUCCCCGGGCUCAACCUGGGAACUGCCUUUGUGACUGCAAGGCUUGAGUGCGGCAGAGGGGGAUGGAAUUCCGCGUGUAGCAGUGAAAUGCGUAGAUAUGCGGAGGAACACCGAUGGCGAAGGCAAUCCCCUGGGCCUGCACUGACGCUCAUGCACGAAAGCGUGGGGAGCAAAACAGGAUUAGAUAGCCCUGGUAGUCCACGCCCUAAACGAUGUCAACUGGUUGUUGGGAAGGUUCCUUCUCAGUAACGUAGCUAACGCGUGAAGUUGACCGCCUGGGGAGUACGGCCGCAAGGUUG